AAAAAGGCACAGAUCUUUUGGCGCAUAAAAAAUUGCCUGCAGCAGAAAAACCUUGUGAUAAUCUGAUGACUUUAAAGGUUACCUAUAGAGGCGAUAUCAUUAAGUUUCAGUGCAGAAAAGCCUUGUGAUAAUCUGAUGACUUUAAAGGUUACAUAUAGAGGCGAUAUCAUUAAGUUUCAGCUCUCCCCUUCAGCAACCAGGGUAGAACUGGAGGUGGAAGUGGAAAAGAGGUUUAACAUAUCACUUCAAAGGUGUUCAAUCAAGUAUCAAGAUGACGACGACGAUUGGAUUUUGAUAACUAGUAAUUCAGAUUUGAGGGCCGGUAUGAAAUCAUUAAGAUUGUUAGGAAGAACUACUAUGAAAUUACUGGUUACCCCAAUAUCCGAGACAUGAAUUUUUACUAAGUUAUUAUUGUUCAUCUUUAUUGCAGAACUUUAGAGUGUUGUUCUUUGCCAGUUAUAUUUGUUGUAUGUCUUUGAGCUCAUUAUAAAUAAUAGAGAAG
rnacentral:lncRNA from 1 species